GAUGAACGCUGGCGGCGUGCCUAAUACAUGCAAGUCGAGCGAACGGACGAGAAGCUUGCUUUUCUGAUGUUAGCGGCGGACGGGUGAGUAACACGUGGAUAACCUACCUAUAAGACUGGGAUAACUUCGGGAAACCGGAGCUAAUACCGGAUAAUAUUUUGAACCGCAUGGUUCAAAAGUGAAAGACGGUCUUGCUGUCACUUAUAGAUGGAUCCGCGCUGCAUUAGCUAGUUGGUAAGGUAACGGCUUACCAAGGCAACGAUGCAUAGCCGACCUGAGAGGGUGAUCGGCCACACUGGAACUGAGACACGGUCCAGACUCCUACGGGAGGCAGCAGUAGGGAAUCUUCCGCAAAGGGCGAAAGCCUGACGGAGCAACGCCGCGUGAGUGAUGAAGGUCUUCGGAUCGUAAAACUCUGUUAUUAGGGAAGAACAUAUGUGUAAGUAACUGUGCACAUCUUGACGGUACCUAAUCAGAAAGCCACGGCUAACUACGUA
rnacentral:rRNA from 1 species